UACGUAGGUGGCAAGCGUUGUCCGGAUUUACUGGGCGUAAAGGGCGUGCAGGCGGUUUGUUAAGUGCAGGGUGAAAGCUCCCGGCUCAACUGGGAGAGGUCCUUGCAUACUGGCAAACUCGAGGGAGGCAGAGGAAAGUGGAAUUCCCGGUGUAGUGGUGAUAUGCGUAGAUAUCGGGAGGAACACCUGUGGCGAAGGGCGGCUUUCUGGGCCUUACCUGACGCU
rnacentral:rRNA from 1 species